CUCUGGGAUGGACCUGCGGUGCAUUAGCUAGUUGGUAAGGUAACGGCUUACCAAGGCGAUGAUGCAUAGCCGAGUUGAGAGACUGAUCGGCCACAAUGGAACUGAGACACGGUCCAUACUCCUACGGGAGGCAGCAGUAGGGAAUCUUCCACAAUGGGCGCAAGCCUGAUGGAGCAACACCGCGUGAGUGAAGAAGGGUUUCGGCUCGUAAAGCUCUGUUGUUGGAGAAGAACGUGCGUGAGAGUAACUGUUCACGCAGUGACGGUAUCCAACCAGAAAGUCACGGCUAACUACGUGCCAGCAGCCGCGGUAAUACGUAGGUGGCAAGCGUUAUCCGGAUUUAUUGGGCGUAAAGCGAGCGCAGGCGGUUGCUUAGGUCUGAUGUGAAAGCCUUCGGCUUAACCGAAGAAGUGCAUCGGAAACCGGGCGACUUGAGUGCAGAAGAGGACAGUGGAACUCCAUGUGUAGCGGUGGAAUGCGUAGAUAUAUGGAAGAACACCAGUGGCGAAGGCGGCUGUCUGGUCUGCAACUGACGCUGAGGCUCGAAAGCAUGGGUAGCGAACAGGAUUAGAUACCCUGGUAGUCCAUGCCGUAAACGAUGAGUGCUAGGUGUUGGAGGGUUUCCGCCCUUCAGUGCCGG
rnacentral:rRNA from 1 species